CUGCUUCAGCAGCACAUAUACUAAAAUUGGAAUGAUACAUAGAAGAUUAGCAUGACCUCUGCACAAGAAUGACAUGCAAAUUCAUGAAGUGUUGCAUAUUUUA